GACGAACGCUGGCGGCGUGCUUAACACAUGCAAGUCGAACGCUGAAGCUCAGCUUUUGUUGGGUGGAUGAGUGGCGAACGGGUGAGUAACACGUGAGUAACCUGCCCCCUUCUUUGGGAUAACGCCCGGAAACGGGUGCUAAUACUGGAUAUUCACUGGUCUUCGCAUGGGGGUUGGUGGAAAGGGUUUUUCUGGUGGGGGAUGGGCUCGCGGCCUAUCAGCUUGUUGGUGGGGUGAUGGCCUACCAAGGCUUUGACGGGUAGCCGGCCUGAGAGGGUGACCGGUCACAUUGGGACUGAGAUACGGCCCAGACUCCUACGGGAGGCAGCAGUGGGGAAUAUUCCACAAUGGGCGCAAGCCUGAUGCAGCGACGCCGCGUGAGGGAUGGAGGCCUUCGGGUUGUGAACCUCUUUCGCUCAUGGUCAAGCCGCAACAAUGGUUGUGGUGAGGGUAGUGGGGAAAGAAGCGCCGGCUAACUACGU
rnacentral:rRNA from 1 species